CGCACAGCUUGGCUUGAUGAGCAAUGUAUAUGUCCGCCCCCAGGAUCUGAACCCAUGAACCCCAGGCAGCCAAAGAGGAGCAUGUGAACUCAAUCACUAUGCUACCGGGCUGGCCCCUGAUAUGCGUCCAUUUUUAAUAAGGAAAAUUAAUUUUUUAUUAUUCAUGUUAUUAAGUUUUUUAAAAAGAUUCCACAAUUUCAGAAAGUUCUGAAAGCCCUGUCCUAGUUGAUGUGUCAUGUUGGAUGCAAAUACCAGAAAACCUAAUCUGAAGAAUACAGCUUGAACAGUAAGGGAGUUUCUUAUCCCGUAUAACAGGAUGGUCAGCAGAGGAGAGGGUCGAUUGAUUACAGAGUUCACCCGUGUCGUUGAGGACCCAGGUUCUUUCUAUUUCUUUGCUUCAACAAAUUUUGAAGAAAUUUACUUCAAAUUCUCUUUGCAUCCUUGGAGCUCAUUUAAUCCUCAGACUCAUGUUCUCUCUAAGGAGUAAAGAAACUUUCCCCAGGAGCUUCCCAGCAGACAACUCUUCACAUCUCAUUGGCACCUGCCCAUUCCUGAACCAACUAGAUUACUCUUAGCCCAAACAGACCACCCCUGGAGUUGAAAGUAGGGUCAGCUUCCCCCAGGGAUAUUGCUGUGUGGGAAAGUGUAGACACAUGAACCAAAUCUGGGUUCUCUUUGGAAGGAAAAGAAGGUGGGGUGGGGUUGAUGCUGAGAAGAUAACCAACAAUCUCCAGUAAAGUCCAACUUGGGUUGGCAGGGAUCAGUUCCUUUCAUCUAAUAGCUCCACAAUGCUCUUGAACCCUGAAGUUCCCUACUGGAUUCUCAGCAUUUGCCUAGUGAAAAAGAGAAGAGAAAAAAAGCCUGGAAGAUUGCAUGAGAGGCCUUAUGGACCAAGCCUUGGGGUGGUGAGCAUCACUUCUGACACACAUUCCAUCGGCCAGAACUCAGACACAUGGUCACAGCUAACUGCAAUGAAGUCUGGGAAAUGUAGUCUAGCUAAGUGUGUCCAGGAAGGAGAAGGAAAUCCAUUUGGUGGACAUCUGGCUAGUCUCUGACAUGCAAUGGAUUGAGUGAAACAUUUCUAUCAUGUUAAAAUUUCGGGGCCAGCCUUGUGGCCAAGUGGUUGAGUUUGUGCACUCGGCUUCCGUGGCCCAGGGUUUGGGCAAUUCAGAUCCUCGGCGCAGACAUAGCACCACUCAUCAAGCCAUGCUGAGGCGUUGUCACACAUAGCACAACCAGAAGGACCUACAACUAGAAUGUACA
rnacentral:lncRNA from 1 species